UUGAGCAUCCACUAAGAGGUGCUAAGGCAGCUACAGGAUCUCAGAGUGUGUGGGGAAGAAACCGAAGGUCUAAAAAUAAGUUGAAUGUGAAAGAAAGAACUGCUUGUACAGGAAAUGCUUCAAGCUUUGAUGAAACGGGAAAAGAUCUGGAAUUACUCGGCAGCAGUCAGGGCAUAUUUCUUCCAGGGAAGCUAAUGAAUGAAGAAACUAUUGACCCACAAAUGAAGGAUUUUUCUUCCAGGCCCCAAAGUAGUUCUGGACAUAAUCUAAGAAAACCACCUCAAAAGGCACUUCGCACUCUGUUUGUGAGAGGCAUACCACAGAGAGACAACAAACUAGAUGCUCUUCUUUCACAUUUCAAAAAGUUUGGGGAGGUCAUUGACAUCCACAUCCCACUGAGUGGUGAUCGAGCUUUUGUUCAAUUUUCUAAGAGGGAGGAAGCUGAGGCUGCUUUAAAAGCACCAGAUGCUGUGAUGGGAAACCGCUUUAUAAAGCUUUUCUGGGCAAACAGGGAUAGCAUUAUGGAUGAUGGAGUAAAUGGUAGUAGUUAUUUACCCCGCAGUGGGACCCCUAGUACAGUUCCACCCCAUCUAUCUGUUCCUCAUAAAAGAAGAGACAAUCAGACUGUAGCCCCCAAACCUGCUGAAAAUGGUGUUGUUUUAGUAGCCACCUCUGAUCUGCCCAAGCCUGUGACUAAGAAUGGUCCCAAAACUACACCAGCUUUGCAAAAAAAGCUGGGAACUUUAGAGCUUCUGAAGGAAGAAAUGCGCAAGAAGCAGGAAAUGCUUGAGCAGAAGCGGAAUGACUUCCGACGCAAGUUGGAUAAGCUUGAGAAGCAAGCUGUGGGUGUGAAAGAUGAGGCAGUGCCAGAUCAGUCUGUGAAGAAACCAAAGGGAGGAGGAAAAGGUCCCAACUCUGGUGAACUGGAAAGUUCAAGCCCUGCAGAACCUAGUAAUGCUGUGUCAUCACCACAUGUCAAAGCAACACCAUUUAGUAGCAGAACUACAGAGAAUGCCGAGCCCAGUUGUUCCAAGUCAUCUUCACUUGUCACAGCGCAGGAAGCUUCAAAUUUGAAGCAGUCGAUCCGUCCAUUGGCACCAGUUGGCGCACCGUUUAUCUUAAAUAGAUACAAACUAGAUAACCGACCCACCACAUUCAAGAUCCUUCCACCUCUGCCAAGUGGUCUGGCAACUGUUGACGUCCUGAAGGAACACUUUUCUACAUUUGGUGAUCUUCUGUCUGUUGAGCUGGAAGAUUUAGAACCUCAAGAUUGUCAUAAUGGCUCAGAGAUGCUAAAUACAUCUGCUAGGGUAUCUUUUCGAUCACGCCGGUCUGCUGAAAGAGCAUAUUUGAAUGGUAAAUGCUGGCAAGACCAAACUCUGCAUUUUAUGUGGUUGCAAUCCAGUAAUUCUGCAAAGGAAAUUGGUGUUGGAGAAAAUGUCACUCCAGCUUCAAAGCAGUCUUCAGAUGUUAAUGGGCAAUCCAUUGCAAACAGUGGUCUGGCUGGUUUCCAGGAAGGAAGCGG
rnacentral:misc_RNA from 1 species